AUUACAUUUAUUUAAUGCUGACAUAAAUUAGAAGGACCUUGUAGUCGGAAAGUGGCCUUGUGGAGUUUGCAGGAAAGGGGUUGGUAGUAACUCAAUUUUUUGUCAGACUUGCAAGCAUUGGGUACAUAAGAAGUGCAGUAGUAUUAGUGGAAGGUUAAGAGCUGACAUUCAGUUUGUAUGCAAGCGUUGCAAAGGUGAGAUUAUAGAGAAUGAAGUUUUUCCAGCUUUAUUAUGUACAACAGUGGCUCGUUAGAGAUAGUUGAGAACUUCUGUUACUUAGGUGAUAUGUUGGGCAGUGAAGGGGUGUUGGAAGAAGUGUUACUUGCAGGAUAGGUUCUGCUUGGAAAAAGUUCAGAGAGUUACUUCCUUUGUUGACUAGGAGAGCCCUGUCAAUUGAGGUAAAAGGUAGGUUGUAUGAGGCCUGUGUAAGAAGUGUUAUGUUGUACGGUAGUGAGACAUGGGCAGUGAAGCAGGAAGAUCUUGAGCGUUUAGAAAGGAAUGAUAUGAGAAUGGUUAGGUGGGUGUGUAACACCAGUCUGAGAGACAAAAAGAGUUCAGAUGAGCUAAGAAGCAGGCUAAGUCUCCAAGAAUGGAGGAGGAUAAUUGGGUAAGAAAGUGUAGAAACUUGAUAGUUCCUGGGGCAAAGCCCAGAGGCAGACCGAGAAAGACUUGGCAGGAGGUUAUAAGGACAGACUUGAUACAGAGGAAGUUGAGUUUAGAUCUAACACAGUCUAGAGCGGGUUGGACAGGGUCAUUAAUAUACCCUGUCCAACCCAUGCUAGCGUGGGUAAUGCAUUAGCAUUACCCACGUUAAGCCGAGAAUGAUGAUGAUGAUGUAGAGACAUGUGUAUAUCAAAUUUGCAUAUAUAUUUAGCCUACCAAACCAUCUUCAACACUAACACCUCCACCCCCAACAUCCGUUCAUCGCACCUCAACAAAUAUCUCCACCUCACCUGCUUAAACUUCAGCCUCAUCUACUGUAAGCCCGAUAAAAGUGAAGCAAAGAUUUACAUAUUACAAAUCUCCACCAAAGCCUGAAAACAACAAAAUUGCACAAACUCAAUCUUCUUUUUCCUCAUCGUGUCAAACAAAGAAUAAUGUGGUGAGUGAUGCGUUACCCAAGACACCACCAAAACCUCUGCUGCAAUUUUCACGUCCAAAAGAUGACAACGAUCUUCGAGCAUAAUGAAGAAUUUAAGAUACGACCCCAACGAAAUAUGUAAAGCUGGUAAUGCAACCUAGAAGAAAAAUAUAUGUUAACGUUCGAGGUUUUAACAAUCCACAAUGAAAAAAUAUUAGGAUGAAAUGUAUUUCAAUGGAGAUGUUAGGGUGAUAAAAACAUUCACUAUCAUUACUUAGAUGGCUUAGUUAAUGAAAAAAGACUCACUUGCUCUAUGGGAACAUUAAACAUAACUUCAUCGAUAACAUUGUUAAAGUGUUUCGCAUCUUUUAUAUUUCCACCAGCAGCUUGAAAUUAUCGUAAUCAAAUUUCAAAGUGAGUAGUGUUCGUUUUUCAUAAUUUCCUCUUGUUGCCAAUGAUACUUGUAAUUCUUUUGAUGUUAUGUUGUAAAAUAAGCAGCAGUGACGACCUUAAUUAAAAAGUCAAUUUUUUAAAAAUUAUCAAUAAGUUAUAAUUUAUUUAUUAAAAUCGUCAACUAAUGCAAUACCAUUUGCUCCAGUCAAUCCAUAAAUAGCACAAAGGAACUCAUAAUCACCAUAAAUGAAAACUCUCAUAUUUCUUGUUCUGAAAAAAAAAAAGAGUUUAUAAUAUCUGUUAGUUGUAGAUAUGUAUACAUUCCUAAAUGUAUUUACCUAAAAAAAUAUUUAUACCUUCAGUUUUGUGUUUGUAAAGUAUCAAUUUGAGAUUUAAAUGUGUCAAGCCCCAUCUUCAGAUUUACUCUGUAGUCCUUUGCUUCGAAAGCACUGAACACAACUAUAUUCCCUUUGCUGUUUGGAUGAAGUGUGUUACAGUAUUGAUAGGACAUUUUAAACGAUUUCCAACCAUGGUCCCCACCAAUCUUUACAUGGAUCUCAUUAUCAGGAGUUUGUUUCUCAACAAAUUGAGCAUACCUUAAUAAAAUACAAUUAUAUGGAAUUCAAUAACAUUUUAAUUUACUGUGCAUUUGUGAGAUUUGUAGUAGAGAAACUUACUUGUAUAAUAAAUUUAAGUAACAAAGAACGUAAUGUGAAACCAGUACGUAACCCCAUGGUGCCUCUCUAACGUCAUAAGAUCCCUUUUCCUCUUUAAUUUGAAAUCUGAAGGGAACACUUUCAACAACUAUGUCAUCCCCUGUCCACUCCUUUGCCACCUUUCGUUGUCUUGCCUGGGAAGCAACUUUGAUGUUAAAGGUUUUUAGCCAUCUAUUGACAAAUAAUAAUAAAUAAAAAUGUAAUUAUGGAUGAAAAUGUCAAUGUUGUUUAUUGGAAUUGUGAUUUUUGCUGCUGUUACCAAACGCCAAAAUUAUUUUUUAUCAAAUAAAUGAAAACCUUACUAAAACCUUACUAUAAACCUUACUUAACGUAUAUAAUGGGAAGUAUGCAUGCCGUUCCAUUUUGUGUAAUUUUUCCCAUGGGAUCCCUAAGUCAACUUUCAUAGAUAUCAAUGUCUCUGCAGAGAUUGAUGUUGAUAAAAUAUCAGGUUGCUUCAAACUAUUUUCUUUUUCAUUUUCUUGAAAACUGUUUACUAAUUUAUAUGUUUGGUUAACCAUGGAUGAAGAUGUUCUACCAGUUGGUUUUGUAAAAACCUGUUUCUGAUUUGGAGAGUUUUGCGAGUUACUUCAGUUCCCUUAAUAGCUUUUGGUGUGGAUAAAACAAAGCAUUAUGAUCAUUGUGCUGGAUACUUCAUCAAACAGGACACUUGGUUUCUGUCAGCAGCAGGCCUUCAACCUGCAGCAACAAACAUUUAAAACAAAGUGUGUGAUGACAGGCAGUUAUUAAAAUGGGUUGAACUGGACAAGUACACAGAUGCAAAUGACUAUUUUGUUCAGAUGUUAAACUUUUUAUAUUACAUUUGUCAGGAAUAAUGUCUGCCGACAUUUUAUGUAGUAAUUUUAGCGAGCAUUCUUUUGUCCAGUAUAAAUGUUUUCCAGAAUAUCGCCUGGUACUUCCUCUCUUUUUUGGC